GACGAACGCUGGCGGCGUGCCUAAUACAUGCAAGUUGAACGCUGAAGACUGGUACUUGUACUAGUCGGAUGAGUAGCGAACGGGUGAGUAACGCGUGGGUAACCUACCUCUUAGCGGGGGACAACUAUUGGAAACGAUAGCUAAUACCGCAUAAUAAUUUUUAACACAUGUUAGGAAUUUGAAAGUACCAACUGGUACACUAAGAGAUGGACCCGCGUUGUAUUAGCUAGUUGGUAGUGUAAUGGACUACCAAGGCGAUGAUACAUAGCCGACCUGAGAGGGUGAUCGGCCACAUUGGGACUGAGACACGGCCCAAACUCCUACGGGAGGCAGCAGUAGGGAAUCUUCGGCAAUGGACGAAAGUCUGACCGAGCAACGCCGCGUGAGUGAAGAAGGUUUUCGGAUCGUAAAACUCUGUUGUCAGAGAAGAACAAGGAUAAGAGUGGAAAGUUUAUCCCUUGACGGUAUCUGACCAGAAAGCCACGGCUAACUACGUGCCAGCCGCCGCAGUAACAC
rnacentral:rRNA from 1 species